rnacentral:rRNA from 1 species
UACAGAGGUGGCAAGCGUUGUUCGGAAUUACUGGGCGUAAAGGGCGCGUAGGCGGCUUUGUAAGUCCCGUGUGAAAUCCCUCGGCUCAACUGAGGAACUGCACGGGAAACUGCUUGGCUUGAGUUCGGGAGAGGGAAGCGGAAUUCCGGGUGUAGCGGUGAAAUGCGUAGAUAUCCGGAGGAACACCGGUGGCGAAGGCGGCUUCCUGGACCGACACUGACGCUGAGGCGCGAAAGCUAGGGGAGCAAACGGG